rnacentral:rRNA from 1 species
GCUAGUAAUGGCAGGUCAGCAUACUGCCGUGAAUACGUUCCCGGGCCUUGUACACACCGCCCGUCACACCAUGAGAGUUUGGGAAUACCCGAAGCCUGUGAGCUAACUUUUAGAGGCAGCAGUCGAAGGUAGAAUCAAUGAUUGGGGUGAAGUCGUAACAAGGUAGC